rnacentral:rRNA from 1 species
CCCUUAGAUGUUCUGGGCCGCACGCGCGCUACACUGACGGAGCCAACGAGUACUUUCCUUGUCCGGAAGGACUGGGUAAUCUUGUGAAACUUCGUCGUGCUGGGGAUAGAGCAUUGCAAUUAUUGCUCUUCAACGAGGAAUUCCUAGUAAGCGUGAGUCAUCAGCUCGCGUUGAUUACGUCCCUGCCCUUUGUACACACCGCCCGUCGCUCCUACCGAUUGAGUGGUCCGGUGAGGCUUUGGGAUCUGAGCGGAAAGAGCGUUUCGCUGUUUCUGCUCGGAAAACUCAGUCGAACCUUAUCAUUUAGAGGAAGGAGAAGUCGUAACA